rnacentral:rRNA from 1 species
GGGACACGUGAAACCCUGUGGGAAGCAGGAGGGACCACCCUCCAAGGCUAAAUACUACCUAGUGACCGAUAGCGUAUAGUACCGUGAGGGAAAGGUGAAAAGAACCCCGGGAGGGGAGUGAAAUAGAACCUGAAACCCUGCACUUACAAGCUGUGGAAGCACAUUUCUUGUGUGACCGCGUACUUUUUGUAGAACGGGCCAACGAGUUACGUUAAGUAGCAAGGUUAAGCACUUAAGGUGCGGAGCCGUAGCGAAAGCGAGUUUUAACUGAGCGUUCAGUUACUUGACGUAGACCCGAAACCGGGCGACCUACCCAUGAGCAGGAUGAAGCGAAAGUAAAAUUUCGUGGAGGUCCGAACCCACGAGCGUUGAAAAGCUCGGGGAUGACUUGUGGGUAGCGGUGAAAUUCCAAUCGAGCCCGGAGAUAGCUGGUUCUCCCCGAAAUAGCUUUAGGGCUAGCCUCAAGGUGAGAGAUACGGAGGUAGAGCACUGAAUGUCCUAGGGGGUAUUGCACCUACCGAAGACUAUCAAACUCCGAAUGCCGUCAUCUUAUACUUGGGAGUCAGACUGUGGGUGAUAAGAUUCAUAGUCGAAAGGGCAACAGCCCAGAUCGUCAGCUAAGGUCCCUAAAUGUAAGUUAAGUGGUAAAGGAUGUGGGAUUGCACAGACAACCAGGAUGUUGGCUUAGAAGCAGCCACUCAUUCAAAGAGUGCGUAAUAGCUCACUGGUCGAGUGAUCCUGCGCCGAAGAUUUCCGGGGCUAAAACUUACUACCGAAGCUACGGCAUCAGUAAUGAUGGGUAGGGGAGCUUCCCAUACGGGUUGAAGCAUGACCGUAAGGACAUGUGGACAGUAUGGGAGUGAGAAUGUUGGCAUGAGUAGCGAGAUGUGGGUGAGAAUCCCACAGGCCGUAAACCCAAGGUUUCCAGGGGAAGGUUCGUCCGCCCUGGGUUAGUCGGGACCUAAGCUGAGGCCGAAAGGCGUAGGUGAUGGACAACAGGUUGAUAUUCCUGUACUACCGAUAACCGUUUGAGAGAAGGGAUGACACAGUAGGAUAAGCUAAGCACACUGUUGGUUAUGUGUGCCCAAGCAUUGAGGCAGUCAAAGUAGGCAAAUCCGCUUUGAUAAUGCUGGGAUGUGAUGGGGAGCGAAAUUUAGUAGCGAAGUAGCUGAUUUCACACUGUCAAGAAAAGUCUCUAUCGAGGUUAAAGGUACCCGUACCGCAAACCGACACAGGUGGGUGAGGAGAGUAUCCUAAGGCCAGCGAGAGAACUGUUGUUAAGGAACUCGGCAAAAUGACCCCGUAACUUAGGGAUAAGGGGUGCCACCAUCAGGUGGCCGCAGAGAAUAGGCCCAAGCGACUGUUUACCAAAAACAUAGGUUUCUGCUAAGUCGCAAGACGAUGUAUAGGAGCUGACGCCUGCCCGGUGCUGGAAGGUUAAGGGGAUCUGUUAGAGCAAUCGAAGCAGUGAACUUAAGCCCCAGUAAACGGCGGCCGUAACUAUAACGGUCCUAAGGUAGCGAAAUUCCUUGUCGGGUAAGUUCCGACCCGCACGAAAGGCGUAACGAUUUGGGCACUGUCUCAACAACAGACUCGGUGAAAUUGUAAUUCCGGUGAAGAUGCCGGAUACCUGCGACAGGACGGAAAGACCCCAUGGAGCUUUACUGUAGCUUGACAUUGGGUCUUGGUACUACAUGUACAGGAUAGGUGGGAGGCUUUGAAACCAGGACGCCAGUUUUGGCGGAGCCAUCCUUGGGAUACCACCCUUGUAGUACUGGGACUCUAACCAUAGGCCAUGAAUCUGGUCUUGGGACACUGUCAGGUGGGCAGUUUGACUGGGGCGGUCGCCUCCCAAAAGGUAACGGAGGCGCUCAAAGGUUCUCUCAGUACGGUCGGAAAUCGUACGUAGAGUGUAAAGGCAAAAGAGAGCUUGAUUGCAAGACAUACAGGUCGAGCAAGGAUGAAAAUCGGACUUAGUGAUCCGGUGGUUCUGCGUGGAAGGGCCAUCGCUCAACGGAUAAAAGCUACCCUGGGGAUAACAGGCUUAUCUCCCCCAAGAGUCCACAUCGACGGGGAGGUUUGGCACCUCGAUGUCGGCUCAUCACAUCCUGGGGCUGUAGUAGGUCCCAAGGGUUGGGCUGUUCGCCCAUUAAAGUGGUACGCGAGCUGGGUUCAGAACGUCGUGAGACAGU